rnacentral:rRNA from 1 species
CAAUAGCGUAUAUUAAAGUUGUUGCGGUUAAAAAGCUCGUAGUUGGAUUUCUGCCGAGGACGACCGGUCCGCCCUCUGGGUGUGUAUCUGGUUUGGCCUGGGCAUCUUCUUGGAGAACGUAGCUGCACUUGACUGUGUGGUGCGGUGUCCAGGACUUUUACUUUGAGGAAAUUAGAGUGUUUCAAGCAGGCACACGCCUUGAAUACAUUAGCAUGGAAUAAUAAGAUAGGACCUCGGUUCUAUUUUGUUGGUUUCUAGAGCUGAGGUAAUGAUUAAUAGGGAUAGUUGGGGGCAUUCGUAUUUAACUGCCAGAGGUGAAAUUCUUGGAUUUGUUAAAGACGGACUACUGCGAAAGCAUUUGCCAAGGAUGUUUUCAUUGA